rnacentral:rRNA from 1 species
UGGGGAAUAUUGCACAAUGGGCGCAAGCCUGAUGCAGCCAUGCCGCGUGUAUGAAGAAGGCCUUCGGGUUGUAAAGUACUUUCAGCGGGGAGGAAGGCGAUAAGGUUAAUAACCUUGUCGAUUGACGUUACCCGCAGAAGAAGCACCGGCUAACUCCGUGCCAGCAGCCGCGGUAAUACGGAGGGGGCAAGCGUUAAUGGGAAUUACUGGGCGUAAAGCGCACGCAGGCGGUCUGUCAAGUCGGAUGUGAAAUCCCCGGGCUCAACCUGGGAACUGCAUUCGAAACUGGCAGGCUAGAGUCUUGUAGAGGGGGGUAGAAUUCCAGGUGUAGCGGUGAAAUGCGUAGAGAUCUGGAGGAAUACCGGUGGCGAAGGCGGCCCCCUGGACAAAGACUGACGCUCAGGUGCGAAAGCGUGGGGAGCAAACA